GGCCAUUUAGCUUAAUGGUAGAGUACUCAACUGGUAUCUGAGGGGUGCAGGUUCAAAUCUCAUGGCUG
rnacentral:tRNA from 1 species